GACGAACGCUGGCGGCGUGCUUAACACAUGCAAGUCGAACGGUGAAGGUACCGGUUUUUGCUGGUUCUGGAUGUGUGGUGAACGGGUGAGUAACACGUGAGUAACCUGCCCCCUUCUUCUGGAUAACCGCAUGAAAGUGUGGCUAAUACGUGUUAUUCUGCGCCUGCUGCUUGGUGGGUGUGGGUAAGUUAUUGUUUCGGUUGGGGAUGGGCUCGUGGCCUAUCAGGUUGUUGGUGGGGUGAUGGCCUACCACGGUGGUGACAGGUAGCCGGCCUGAGAGGGUGGACGGUCAAACUGGGACGGAGACACGGCACAGAGUCAUAGAGGAGGCAGCAGUGGGGAAUAUUGAACAAUGGGCGCAAGACUGAUGAAGCGACGCGGCGUGAGGGAGGGAGGCCGUCGGGUUGUAAACCUCUUUCGCCAGUGAAGAAGGCCUGGCCCUUUUGUGGGUGGGUUGACGGUAGCUGGAGAAGAAGCGCCGGCUAACUACGUG
rnacentral:rRNA from 1 species